UACGGAGGGGGGCUAGCGUUGUUCGGAAUUACUGGGCGUAAAGCGCGCGUAGGCGGCUUAGCAAGUUAGAGGUGAAAGCCCGGAGCUUAACUCCGGAAUUGCCUUUAAAACUGCAAAGCUAGAAUCAUGGAGAGGUGAGUGGAAUUCCGAGUGUAGAGGUGAAAUUCGUAGAUAUUCGGAAGAACACCAGUGGCGAAGGCGACUCACUGGACAUGUAUUGACGCUGAGGUGCGAAAGCGUGGGGAGCAAACAGG
rnacentral:rRNA from 1 species